GCACCAACAAACGUGACUGCCCGAACAAGCUGACAGUGCUCCCGUGUGUCUCAUCGUUCCCUCCUCCCAUUGUAUAGUCAACUGCAUCCUGAAGAAGAAGAAAUUGCCACUAGCUUUAUCUUGCCAAGGAGUUAUCUUCUUGGGUGCCUAUAAUUGGCUAAUUCCAAAAAAGGUGUUAAACGCCAUCAGAACAUCUGCGCUCCUUAGAAAGCGUAAGCUUUGGUUUUUGAAGUGUGUAAUAGAUGUAAACUAUCAAUUACUUAUUUGAAAAAGAAAUUUCAUUCUUUUCUUCCUCACAGCUAUAAAGAAAGACACCAAGGGAAGUUCUUGCAGCUGCCUCUGCCCUGAGUAAUGCGUAUCUUAUGAACACUCAGCUAAAAAGCAGCUCAGCCUAAAAGUGGGCAGGGUAGCAGUCUUAAAGAGCAUCUGUUACCCAAGAGAGGCAAACUGUUUCUAUGCUGGGAUGUACUGCAGCUAGUAUUAAAAAAAAAACAAAAAACAAACCAAUCUCAGUGAGCCUGCAGCUUCUGAGAAGUGCCUUUUAACAUGUACAUAGAAAAUAAACUCUCCAGCUGUGGAGCUGUGCCCCUCUCUUCUCACAAAGCCACUCUGCGGGAGCUUUGAGGGAUGGCUCCAGGAGUCGCAUUAGCUAGAGCUAAAGCACUGCUGAUAGAGACCAGAGAAGGGAGAUUUGGAGCCAGACAAUCCCGGGCCACACCCUGGCUCAGGCCUGCUUUCCUCAGUGUAGAGACCAAAGGAUAGGAGAAUCCUUUCAGUGCAGAUCGGCCAGUGUGAAGUGAGUGUGCACCGAACAGCACGAUUCAGAUUAGCCAGUUCCUGCGAUGUUGAAAUAGUGAUUUUUAAAAAUGAUUUAUUUAUUUUUAUGUGCAUUGGUGGUGUGAGCUGACAUGUGAGUGCUGGGAAUUGAACCUAGGCCCUCUGGAAGAGCAGUCAGUGCUCUCAACCACUAAACUAUCUUUCUGGCCUCAUGAUUUUUUUUUUUUUAAGGCAUACUAGGGUCUUGCACACGCUAGGCAACUCUGCCACUGAGCUAUGUUCCCAACCCAGUGAUUUCUUUUUAAGGUUGAUGAUUUUGUACAGUCACUACAUUGGGUUGUCAUUUGUGUUAGGUGGUCUAUGUUAUCUUUGCUCUUUGAUAAAAUCAAGGGUUUUCUUGGAUUUUAAAUGAAAUCCUUGGUAUGUUAUUUAUUUAUUAGCUGACUGAAAAUUAUAAAAAGUUAACCCAUCAAAUGUAAAUUCAGAAAGCAUUUUGAUUUAAAUGGAUGAAUGGGAUUUAUUGAGUAUAAAUAUUGACUUCUUUCCACUAUGGUUUAAUGUUGGCUUGACUACAGUACCGUUUCCUUCAAAAGUUCCAUGAUUAGACCUCUAAAAGCUGUCGACCACCUGCAAGAGGGGCCUGCCAUCGAGUGCCAGACAUAAAUAUGGACUUAAAACAAGACUAGUGUUACCCUUUUAACCUAGGGAAGCCAGGUGCUUUGCCAAAUUCUGCUUGUCUUUUGAACCCUGCACCCAAAUAUGUAGUAAAUCCAAAUUCUCAUCAUCUGAAAUUUCUCAUAUCCUAAGAAAAGUGUUCACUAAUUUUAAAUGUGCAACUCUGUGCUGCGAGUCUCUAAGAACCUUAAAAAAGUAACUGACAGGCGGGGACCCUCGGAAGUUACAUUCAUCAGUGGGUCACGCACACUUUUGUAUGUUGCCAGUCUGAUUAAAGCCCUGGUGGUGCACAGAUUUUGCCAGAAAUGAUUUCCUGUUCUGCCAAGAGCAAUAUGGACUUUUCAUCCCGUGUUAGGUUAGUGCAGGGCUCUUAGGACCUUGCUAGCUUUUUUCUUCCAUCUGGUUUGCCCGUUGUUUCACAAGAGCCCUCAGCUACGCGAAGAGUCAAGCCAUAACCACGCAUCUGCUGAUCAUUGCCUGCCUUGCCUUCACUGUGACUACAGAGUUCAAAGAUAAUCCUGUCUUACUUCCAUUGUACACUUGAACUGUGACAGUGACCCACAAUGUGACAAUCAGUUACUGCUUCCUACAGUGCUGCUGCUGGUCAGACAAGUGCUUGUUGUGUGUUUUGUUUUGUUUUUUAAAUCUGGUCAGAUCCUGGAUGGAGUACUGAAGUUGUGAGCUCCGUGAGAGCAGGGACCAUAUUCUAGCACCUUCCAUCGUGCUUUUUGCACUCAAUAAAUAUUUGUGGACAUG
rnacentral:lncRNA from 1 species